UACGGAGGAUCCAAGCGUUAUCCGGAUUUAUUGGGUUUAAAGGGUGCGUAGGCGGAUUGAUAAGUUAGAGGUGAAAUGUCCGAGCUUAACUCGGGAACUGCCUCUAAUACUGUUGAUCUAGAGAAUAGAUGCGGUAGGCGGAAUGUAUGGUGUAGCGGUGAAAUGCUUAGAGAUCAUACAGAACACCGAUUGCGAAGGCAGCUUACCAAUCUAUAUCUGACGUUGAGGCACGAAAGCGUGGGGAGCAAACAGG
rnacentral:rRNA from 1 species